rnacentral:rRNA from 1 species
GACGAACGCUGGCGGCGUGCUUAACACAUGCAAGUCGAACGGAAAGGCCCUGCUUUUGUGGGGUGCUCGAGUGGCGAACGGGUGGGUAACACGUGAGUAACCUGCCCUUGACUUUGGGAUAACUUCAGGAAACUGGGGCUAAUACCGGAUCGGAGCUCCUGCUGCAUGGUGGGGGUUGGAAAGUUUCGGCGGUUGGGGAUGGACUCGCGGCUUAUCAGCUUGUUGGUGGGGUAGUGGCUUACCAAGGCUUUGACGGGUAGCCGGCCUGAGAGGGUGACCGGCCACAUUGGGACUGAGAUACGGCCCAGACUCCUACGGGAGGCAGCAGUGGGGAAUAUUGCACAAUGGGCGGAAGCCUGAUGCAGCAACGCCGCGUGCGGGAUGACGGCCUUCGGGUUGUAAACCGCUUUCGCCUGUGACGAAGCGUGAGUGACGGUAAUGGGUAAAGAAGCACCGGCUAACUACGUG